AGUUAAACAGUACGUGAAAUUGUUGAAAGGGAAACGAUUGAAGUCAGUCAUACCAACGGGAAAUCAACCUUUUGAGCUUGGUCUCGUGGGUUUUGAAGAGUUUCAAAGCCUUCGGAUUCGCGGGAUUGGGAUCUCUUGGUGUACUUUUUCGUUCGGUUAGUCAACAUCGGUUUUGAAUGUCAUAAAAUGACUGGAGGAAUGUAGCUUCGAUCUCGUAUUGAAGUUUUAUAGCCUUUGGUAGAUGUGAUGUUUGAGACCGAGGAUUGCAACGGAUACCCUUCAGGGCUAUUCGUCUGAUCUCUGAUACGUUGCCUUGAUGUUGAAAGCUUGCUUAUGAUGUUAGGGUAUUACGGUCAAAAGGUUAGAACGAAUUACAUUCGUUAAGGAUGUUGACGUAAUGACUUUAAA
rnacentral:misc_RNA from 1 species